rnacentral:tRNA from 1 species
GGGGAUAUAGCUCAGUGGUAGAGCAUUCUACUGCAGUUAGAGAGGUCGCUGGUUCGAACCCGGGUGUCCCCU